rnacentral:lncRNA from 1 species
GCAUAGGGAGACAGUAAGAUUUAUUGCCUAUUAGUAACAAGCUAGAGAAGUGAGAAACAAAGGAAAGAACCCAAAAGCACCUCCCCCCCCUCCACCCUCUUCCACCUCCUUCCCCCGAGCGGCGCAGGGGAACGGGGGUUAUGGUCAGCCUACAGUGCUUCUUCUCUGCCGCUCCUUCUCGGUCACUCUCGUCCCCUGUGCUGUGGGGUCCCUCCCACGGGAUGCAGUCCUUGAUGAACUGAUCUGGUGUGGGCUGCCCACAGGCAGCAGCUCUUCCAGAAGUGCUCCCACGCAGCUCUUUCCUCCGGGGUCCAUCCCCCAGGAGCAAACUGCUCCAGCACGGGUCCCCCACUGGUGGGCAGCAGCUCCCUCCUUUCCCCCUGCUCCUGCGUGGGCUCCUCUCCACAGGCUCAGGUCCAGCCCAGGGCCUGCUCCAGUGGGAGUCCUCCACAGGCCGCAGCCUCCAUCGGUGCAGGGCCACCGGCUCCACCGUGGUCUCCUCCACGGGUUGCAGCGUGGAACCCUGCUCCACCGUGGUACUCCAUGGGCUGCAGGGGCACAGCCUGCUUCACCAUGGGCCUCACCACAGGCCGCAGGGGACUUCUGCUCCAGCUCCUGGAGCGCCUCUCCCCCUCCUCCUCCACUGAUCUUGGUGCCUGCAAGGCUGUUCCUCACUCCUCUCACUGUCCCAGCUGCUCUGAGGUGCAGCUUCUUUUUUCAUUUUUUUUUCCCCCGUCUUACAUCUGCUCUCACAGAGGUGCAACCAACAUCGCUUACUGGCUCGCCUCUGGUCAGCUGCGGGGCCCUUACCUGACAUGGGGCAGGUUUUAGAUUCUUCUCACAGAAGCCAUCCCUAUGGCUACCUUCUACCAAAACCUUGACAUGUAAACCUACAUGAGUACUACACAGCACUCAACUCCUCAAUACCCAACACCUCAGAACCCAAACAUCUCAGCACCCAACUCCUCAGCACUCGAUUUGUUAGCACACAACACCUCAGUAACCAGCUUAUCACUGCCCAACUCCUCAGCACCCAACUCCUCAGCACCCAACUCCUCAGCGCCCA